UGACUGAGGACUUGUUCUCGAUACUGCCGCAAAACAGAGGUGAUUGAGGCUUGCAGAGGGAGCUUUCAGUUACAGAUCAUUUAGUAAACAAUUUUUUACCAUUCGUCUGAGUCCUUUAGUCUGAUUUCUCGGAAACCGGCCAUCACAGAACCGCGUACAUACCAUUUUAAUCAGGAUCAAAUUAACGCAUACAAGCGGUCAAAGUAGCUUCCCUUUGGGUCACGAUAAGUAAAUAGGCCCAAGCAAGGCCCGGUACCACAGCUGGCGAACCCUUCAAAUGCGGCUUUGGAGAGGCUUUGGAUACCAUUAUGCCUCCUAAACGCGAUUUUAGGUCGAAAAAGUUUCAAUGUAGUUACUUUUAAAGGAGGAAAAGCUACAGGAAAGUCGAAGUUUGGUGUUCCAGUUCGAUAUGCCGCCCAGCAAUCAAUUGAUACAACGCCUGUGGCCACCGGAUCUUCUCUAAACAUAUGCAGAGGUUUUUCUCCAGACCAAGAAGACCUUCCCCAUAUUUACGAAUCUCAUGGUUUGAAAAACAACAAAAGAUCUCAAGGUAUAAAAGUACGACUGAAGUGCAAGUUAAAAGCUUACCAUGCGAGGAAAGCCGCGCUGGCUUCGUCUUGGCUCAAUGCGAGAGAGCCGCUCAUCUCAGCACUGUUGACCAGACAGGCUUUGCCUUUGGGGCAGAUGUGUGUCAUUCCUUUUUGCAAAGAAGAGGCGUGCGGCAGAUGCCUUAACUGCAGUCCAGGGCAAUUCCUAUGCGAAAACCAUAUCAAUUCAGUUAAUGCAGGAGGUAGAUCUCUGCACCACCGGGAAGUUUGGAAGGAUGGAACUGAUUCAUGAAUGCCAUAUCGAUUUGGUGAGUGUGUAUGGACUACACCUCACAACAUGGAUCAUGGAUAUGUGCAUGACUUUAUAGCUGUUGGUUUUUGCAUGGGCAGCAGCAUCCAUUAAAAUCAAAUGUUGUGAGUAUGAACCAGAAGCCAUAACACUGAUCAGGAACAGUUUCUGGCUAUCUUCUCCAAAACAACCCCAGGUAGCCUUUGACCUUGGAUUUAUGGCCCUGUUCCAAUACAUUUUCUUAGAAUGUAGAGUGUCUUUAUUAAAGUCAAUAUGUCAGGCAUUGCAAUGGCUGGUUCCUCCUGCUUCCAAGGUUUA